rnacentral:rRNA from 1 species
UCGAGAAUAUUCGACAAUGGGCGAAAGCCUGAUCGAGAAAUACCGCGUGCAGGAAGAAGGGCUUCGGUCUGUAAACUGCUUUUGCUAGGGAAGAAUUUUGACGGUACCUAGAGAAUAAGGGGUUGCUAACCUCGUGCCAUCAGCAGCGGUAAUACGAGGACCCCGAGCAUUAUCCGGAAUUACUGGGCGUAAAGCGUGAGUAGCUGGUUGUAUUAGUCUGACGUUAAAUUCCGAGGCUUAACUUCGGAGCUGCGUUGGAAACGGUACGACUAGAGCGGGUAAGAGGUAGGCGGAACGUGCAGUGUAGGGGUGAAAUCCAUUGAUAUUGCACGGAACACCAAAAGCGAAGGCAGCCUACUAGUGCUCUGCUGACAGUCAAUCACGAAAGCGUGGGGAUCAAA